GAUGAACGCUGGCGGCGUGCCUAAUACAUGCAAGUCGAGCGAACAGACGAGGAGCUUGCUCCUCUGACGUUAGCGGCGGACGGGUGAGUAACACGUGGAUAACCUACCUAUAAGACUGGGAUAACUUCGGGAAACCGGAGCUAAUACCGGAUAACAUGUUGAACCGCAUGGUUUAACAGUGAAAGACGGUCUUGCUGUCACUUAUAGAUGGAUCCGCGCCGCAUUAGCUAGUUGGUAAGGUAACGGCUUACCAAGGCAACGAUGCGUAGCCGACCUGAGAGGAUGAUCGGCCACACUGGAACUGAGACACGGUCCAGACUCCUACGGGAGGCAGCAGUAGGGAAUCUUCCGCAAUGGGCGAAAGCCUGACGGAGCAACGCCGCGUGAGUGAAGAAGGUCUUCGGAUCGUAAAACUCUGUUAUUAGGGAAGAACAAAUGUGUAAGUAACUAUGCACGUCUUGACGGUACCUAAUCAGAAAGCCACGGCUAACUACGUG
rnacentral:rRNA from 1 species